UUUUCUACUUAUUCUGGAGCUAAGUUAUGGAGUUUUUCUACUUAUUCUGGAGCUAAGUUACGGGUUUUUCUACUUAUUCUGGAGCUAAGUUAUGGGUUUUUCUACGUAUUCUGGAGCUAAGUUAUGGGGUUUUUCUACUUAUUCUGGAGCUAAGUUAUGGGGUUUUUCCUACUUAUUCUGGAGCUAAGUUAUGGAGUUUUUCUACUUAUUCUGGAGCUAAGUUAUGGGGUUUUUCUACUUAUUCUGGAGCUAAGUUAUGGGUUUUUCUACUUAUUCUGGAGCUAAGUUAUGGAGUUUUUCUACUUAUUCUGGAGCUAAGUUAUGGGUUUUUCUACUUAUUCUGGAGCUAAGUUAUGGGUUUUUCUACUUAUUCUGGAGCUAAGUUAUGGGGUUUUUCUACUUAUUCUGGAGCUAAGUUAUGGGUUUUUCUACUUAUUCUGGAGCUAAGUUAUGGAGUUUUUCUACUUAUUCUGGAGCUAAGUUAUGGGUUUUUCUACUUAUUCUGGAGCUAAGUUACGGGUUUUCCUACUUAUUCUGGAGCUAAGUUAUGGGUUUUUCUACUUAUUCUGGAGCUAAGUUAUGGGUUUUUCUACUUAUUCUGGAGCUAAGUUAUGGGUUUUUCUACUUAUUCUGGAGCUAAGUUAUGGGUUUUUCUACUUAUUCUGGAGCUAAGUUAUGGGUUUUUCUACUUAUUCUGGAGCUAAGUUAUGGGGUUUUUCUACUUAUUCUGGAGCUAAGUUAUGGGGUCUUUCUUGUUCUUCUGGCGUUGGCUACGGCCCACAGUAUCCUGUGAGAAGGUUCAAUAAACCAGCAGAGAAUCAGAUAAAGUCUCACUCAUUCAUCACAGAGGGUUGCUACAAUAUGUUGACCUGUUUUUACAUCUUGACCCAUGUUGGUCGCUGUUUCUUCCUGUUCCCAGCUUUUUAUUCUGUCUAAUUUCAUUUCCAUGGAGACGGCUUUCCUUUUGUUCAAAGCAUCAGAAGAGUCUGACUUACGCUGGGAGCCAUAAUGAAGGUAAAAAGUUAGUGAAUGUUGCAAAAUCCAAGGUGGAGUACAACCAGAGAAUGGAGACAAAGCCAUCCACUCAUCAACUAGUUCAGUGUAACAGUGAAACACCAUAGGUCGAUAUUGUCAUAAAUUGAGGACUUCCUGUAAUUGGAAAUAAUUUAUUCACUUCGAUUCAUGGCGGUUUUCGGUAAAACCACCGAACAUGUACCACUUAGCUGAACAUUGCUGCAGAUCAAGCACAACCCGGACAGACAGGAAGCCACUGUUUACCAGCAGACCUCAAGAAAAGCAAGAAUCAUUGAACCAGUUUAUCCCAUUCAUGGGAUGUAGCAGAACGUUCCUAAUUAGAACCCAGAGGAUGGACUACUGAAGUCUCCAGGAAGAUCCACAUCCAUCCUCCGAUGAUUCAGCGGUGUUUUAGCGUUUUGUGGCUGUGAGUCCUACAAGCUCCUGGUUCUGAAUAAAACAGCACACACCAUCAACUAUCUGUUUUAUAAGUCUAUAAAUUCACCGAACACUGAUAUUGUAGCUUAACAUUAGCAUCCAGAGCAGUCAUGAGCAAAUACUUCACACCUUUGUAAAUUCAAUUAAAAGACUUUUGAGUAUGAAACUGAAUUAAAUCUUUGUAAAACAUUUUCAAGGCCUGCAGAUAUAGUUCCCUGACAGUCAGAAAAUAGUGAAAAAUAAAUGUGCCUCGAAAUCUCCAAAAGCCCAAGGUGAUUUCUUAAAACGCCCAAUUUUGUUAAACCGACAGCACAAAAGACCCAAAGAUAGUCAAUCAUUUUUUCAUUCAAAGAAUAAUGUUUUCGGUUCCAAAUGACUCAUAACCGUCCUUACAUUAUGGCCAAAAACAAAAAGACUGACCAUCAGACAGUAGUUUACGAAAAAGAAAGUCCAUCCACCAACUUCUUCUGGUUCUUUCAGCUACAGAUCAUGAUCCCGAUCAGCAAAUGGAUCCUCGGUUGUUAUGGAUCAGUGAAGCAGAGAGGAUAUAAAGACCAUGAGAUACGUCUGACAGCAGAGAAAAACACCUUGUAAGUGGGCUGAGUGAACAAAUUUGCCAAAACUAUGAAAAGCCCCGAUAGAAUUCCCAUUUACUGGGUUAACUCAACUCAGUCUGUUCUGAAGGUCGAUAAUGAGUGGUCAAUGGUUGGAGUUGCAGAUUUAAAAGUCUCAGAACAUGUAGUCUGAUGGACUGAGAGCUCCAGAGAACACGAACAUCCAGCUGUGGUUGUCUGAAGAGUCUUCUCUCCUUCAUCACUGUGAGGAAGAUCUGCAUCCCAGUGAUCCAGACCAAGGCUGGAAGGAAAAGAUCUCCAAGGUUGUUUCAUUCCAGCUGCAGGAACGUUAAAUAUCAGAGUGAACACAUCAGGAUAUGAAUGAAAUGUGUGAUCACAUUUUUGUAAUGUAUAUUAGUUAUAAUCUGUUGAAUUGUAUGUAAAAAUCUAUGAAUGAGUCUAUUUUUUUGGUAUAAAGCUUGUCUAGGUGUAGUUCCUAGAUUACGCCACAAGGGGGCUCAACCUUUAACAGAGAGGGCUUAGUGUGUUUAGCAGCAGCCUCGUCUUCAAACCGGCAGAAGUGAAGGAAGAGCAGAAUCCGUUGUCCGUCUCAUUCUUUCUCCUGGUUUUCACAGGUUAGUUAUCAUCAUAAUGUAUAAAUUGUGUUGAAACAACUUCCAUGAUCUGUUACGCCUUAAAUGUUUUCGUAAGGACGGUAUUUUUGAUGCCAGUAUGUGUAUUGUUUUGUAUUAUAAUGUCCGUUUUGCCAGAUGCGAGCAAGUAUUAGCCUAGCAGGCUACGUUCAGCUCAUACACUCUAUAUAUAUUAGUCCCUCCAGGAAUUCGCGAUGUUUCGAUCGUGCAAAAUCAACCAAUCUCCGCGAAUUUUGCGCGGCCUUGCAAUUUGGUCCAAUCACCGCAACUUUCCCGCAAUUUUGGCCCGCCUCCCGUGAGUUCCACCAAUAAUAGCAGCUCUCAGCGCAAACGUAAUGCACGUACGUCACCGAAUUCACUUCCUUGUUUAUGGUUUGAAGAUGCAGACAUGUCCCAUGUACCAACAGAAAUUACUGCUUUAGACCGUGAAAAACAACUAAUUCACUGAUGUUCUUCACCAAAGCGGCGCUAAACUGUUUUACACCCGUAUUGUGGUGGAAUACAAAAAAGAAAAAAUAAUCAUCGAAAAUUGAAGAAGGGUCUGCUCUUGAACCAGCAGCUCCAUAGGCAAACCCUUAACUCACUGAGCUACAGAUCAGAUUAAAAAGAAAUAAAUUUGUCGUCCCUUUGACAUCGUAGUUUCCAAGUGACCACAUGGGUGGAGCCAAGGCGGAGUCAGGGCGGAGAGUAGGAGGGAGGUGGGUGGCGGCCUGCCCCUUCUGAAAUGUCACUUUUUAAGUGAAUUUUCUUAAAUCAAGUGGGAUGAGACAUUUAGACUAAAAAUAAGACAAAUAGACUUGGUAAGAUUUUGAGUUUUCGCAGUGUAAAGAGAUCUUCAGGCUGCAGAGUGUCCCAGGGUGUCGGAACAGUGUUGGUAUUCAUACAUCUGCUUGUUGUCCUCAGAAGUGGACUGCCAUUGACAGAAACCCCAUGUGGUCUGUAAUGAUUUACACACACACACACACACACACACACACACACACACACACACACACACACACACACACACACACACACGACGGCUGACAGGUUGUCUCAUUUCCAUAGAAACCCUGGAUUUCCAGCUGCUCUCCUGCCAGCGAUCCUUUCUGCCGUCACUCAUUCUCCGGAUGAUAACGGUAAUUCUAGCAGUCACAGGUUUUCAUCUGAACAUUUGCAGCUGUGGCAGAAAUCCUGCUCAGCUCAUUGUUCUACUACUGCUGAUUUACAUUUGGCUUUUUCUGCAACUCAAGCAAGAAAACAAAAACAAAAAUGAAGAGAAGAACCCGACGACGACUUCCUCUCUGUCCUGAUCGCAUUAUUAGAAAUUCAUUUAUUCAAAGUCAAUUUCAGAGCAAGUUUGAACACAAAAAGCAACAAGAAUUCAAAUGGGAAUUCAUCACUAGGGAAAACUUUUGACGGGUUAGAUCUCAUGAUAAAUAUUCAUAAGAUUUAAAGUUCUUUUCUGACCUCAGAGACGGUUCCGGUAAACGUUUCUAGAAGUGCAGCAACUGCUUCCAAGGUCAGGAGGGAACUUCUCCGUCCUACAAGUUGUUUUUAUCCAGUGUUUUACUGUUAAUGUGGUGGAUUUUCUGUUCUAGAAGACAUGGAAUAAGUAGCCGGCGUCAUGGCUGAACAUUUCUACUUUGACUUAUUUUUAGAUUUUUUUAUGGGCCCCAAAAAUGAUUGUUUCCUUGUCUGAGAAAAACUCCAAAACUUCGGCAAAAAAAUUCCCCAAAUUUUGGAAAAUUUGCAAAACCUUCAGGAAGAAAAUUCAAAUAAUUCCUUAAGUUUCCCUUAAAAGUUUUAUUUAAAAAAGUCCCCCAAAUUUGGCAAGAAAAUUCUUGUAAAUAUUUUCAAAAAAUGAGUAAAAAUCUUCAAAAAAAAUCCUAAAAAUAUCUAAAGUGAUUCCAUAUAUAUCAGGAAAACUUCUAAUAUUUUCUUUAAGAAGAUUCAAUUUUCUUGCCAAAUUUGGGGAUUUUUUUAAAAUAAAACUUUAAGGGAAACCUUUAAGGAAUUAUUGGAAUUUUCUUCCUGAAGUUUUUCCAAAUUUUCAGAAAUUCGGGAAAUUUCUUUGCAGAAUUUUUGUAUUUUUUCAGACAAGGAAACAAUAUUUUUUGGUGCCUGUAAAUGAGGACAACAGGAGGGUUAACAGUACAUUAUGAGAUUUCACAUCAACAACUCAAAACAUACAAUAAUGCAGUCAAACAAACAAGAACUUCCCAUUUCUCACAACUCACCGCAGACCAUAAAAACAAGCCCCGGUUUUUCUUCUCCACCUUUGAUAUUUUAACACUCAGUUUAAUAAAGCUUUUCUGACGCUCUCUGUGAGAACUUUCCAUCCACUUCAGAACCAAAUCAGGGACGUCAGAUCCAGUCUUUCAUGCAGACGGGUUUUAUCUGUGAACACACCUGAGCGGCCGUCCUUUCCUGAGGAAACACUACAGAGUUCUGCCCUGGGUGAUGCAAGUUUUCUCACAGGUCAACGCAACAGCCUGCCGCAAGAGAAAAGCACUUUGUGUUGCAUUUUAUUGUACGAAAAGUGCUUUAUAAAUAAAGUUUGAUUGACUGAUUGAACAGACCACACCCACUAAUGACAACAAACUGUCAUGUGUAAUAAACCAAUUCAUCGUGUA